UUAAGACGCAUUUUAUUGAAAAGGUAGUUACAAAUAUAUCAAAUAUAAACCGGGAUUUAUAAAUGUUUUAACCUAUUUAUCACUCGAUUUAUUUUUUUAAUAUUCUAUAUUAUUUGUAUUGGUAUCUAGGCUAUACCUUUCUACCUUUUGGUAUUAUGCAUACCCAGAGUCACGUGUUAUUUGUAAGUUUCCAGCCGCCAUUUUUGGAAUUUUGAAGCGAUCAGAAGAAAGAAAUCUGUGAUUUAUUUGCCACAAAAGCAUGUAUUGCUCAACUCAUGGACUGCAGUUUUUGGCAAUUUUCAACAAUGGAAGAAAACUUGAAACAGAAACCAAGAUACAGAUAUCAGCAGUUAAUGUAUAAUGUACAGAUGCCCUUAAACAUGUUAAAGUGUUUGAUGAAGUAAAGAGCAAGAUACUAUCCCAUUUAGCAGCGAUACUGCAUGACUUUAAUUCCCAGACAAUAUGACAAAGAAUACCGAUUGGCAUGAUUGGACACCAAUAUAUAGUUCACACAUGAGAAUUACUGAGAAGAUGUUUUUAGGACUUCAUACAUGUACAGGAGCUUCUUUGGAGGUUUGAAAAGAAGCAUUAUCCUAGACUUCACAAUUUGCUAUAAAGAUCCUCUUAUUGAAUAAUUCAAAGUAUGGUAACUUUGUUGAAUGCAUGUAUCCUAUUGAACUUGAAAUAAAGGAUACAACAGGUACAGGGGCCAGCUGAAGGACACCUCAGGAUGAAUCAUUGCUGGGUCCUUGAAAACCCUACUGGAACUUCUUCUGAUACUGGAAAUUGAAAACAACUGGUUAGUAUAAUAACAUUUAUAACAGCAUUGUAUAAAACUCCUGUGGUAAAGAGGAUUCAUUUGGUGAAUGUAAUUUCCAUUUCAUAUUGAUAUUGUUGAUGCUAGUGAAUAAGAUGAUAAUAUGAUGUUUUUUCUGUAUUACAAAGGAAAAUAAUAGAUUUGUAAAUUACCCAAGUUCAUUUUGUUUAUUUAUAUCUUUCUCUUUCCUUUACAAAUGUUUUUUUUAAACUUAAUUAAGUGAGUGUUAAAUGUGAAAAUAUGGAGAUGUGGUAUGAUUACCAAUGUAAAGCUAUCCUCAAAUGAAAUGAUGUAGAUAUAAGGAACAAUAAAUAAUGCCUUUAACAAUGAGUAUAAAAGACCUAAACAUUACUAAUUAGAAAGAACAACAACCAGAUUUACUAAAUGAAAUAAAAAAACAAUUAAUAUGGAAACCAUUGAAACCUAUAUUAUGUAAAAAAUAUGAUCAUAUUCCAAAUUCCAACAGUAUCAACCUUGAAUAUUAAGUCCAAAUUGCCCCAAUUGUUCAGGGGUCUACCUCUGCAGUCGUAUCAGGCUGUGCUCAGUGAAGCAUUUUUAUUAGUUUCUUUGUUGAUUUCAUUAAUAGGUAUAUGGAAAUCAUGAAUUUUGAAUAACAAAGUAAAAACAUCUGGUGUGUUUUUGUUGGCAAUGUAUUUUCUGGAACAGCCCUUAUGUGUUUUAAUAUAAUAAAAAAAAAAAUAGAUUUAACAUUUUAUUUUUUUCAAGUUGAUAAAUGCAAUAAAAAAAAUUGUGAUAGAAUUUAUAUUACUCCAAUCCAGGUUACCAGAUGUGGCAUUAAGUUUGCCAAUGAGACAACUCUCCACCAGAGACCUAUAGAUUAAUGAUGCAGAUGUUUAUGAUAAACUACAUAUUUAAAUGGCUACCUACUCAUUCUGGAUAUGACAUCAUUUUUUUCAUUUUCGAAACAAAAAACAUUUGAUUAUCUGUAGCUAACAUUAUUUUGAUACUCUUCAUAGAUCAGUUUUUGCAAAUUAGCCUAUCUCUUAAUGGAUUUUAUAAUCAAAGGGAAUAU